UACGUAGGCAGCAAGCGUUGUUCGGAAUUACUGGGCGUAAAGAGUGUGUAGGCGGUGCUCUAAGUCUGUUGUGAAAUCUCCCGGCUUAACUGGGAGGGUGCGGCGGAGACUGGAGUGCUAGAGUGUGGGAGAGGUAAGCGGAAUUCCUGGUGUAGCGGUGAAAUGCGUAGAUAUCAGGAGGAACACCUGUGGUGUAGACAGCUUGCUGGACCACGACUGACGCUGAGACACGAAAGCGUGGGUAGCAAACAGG
rnacentral:rRNA from 1 species